rnacentral:rRNA from 1 species
GCGGUACGUGUACCUGCAGAGAUGUGGGGGUGCUCGAAGAGAGCCAGGACACAGGUGCUGCAUGGCCGUCGUCAGCUCGUGUCGUGAGAUGUUGGGUUAAGUCCCGCAACGAGCGCAACCCUUGCCAUUAGUUGCUACGAAAGGGCACUCUAAUGGGACUGCCGGUGACAAACCGGAGGAAGGUGGGGAUGACGUCAGGUCCUCAUGGCCCUUAUGGGUAGGGCUACACACGUCAUACAAUGGCCGGUACAGAGGGCUGCCAACCCGCGAGGGGGAGCCAAUCCCAGAAAACCGGUCGUAGUCCGGAUUGCAGUCUGCAACUCGACUGCAUGAAGUCGGAAUCGCUAGUAAUCGCGGAUCAGAAUGUCGCGGUGAAUACGUUCCCGGGUCUUGUACACACCGAA